rnacentral:misc_RNA from 1 species
ACUGAUGCCGAGGCCAUGGAA